GACGAACGCUGGCGGCGUGCUUAACACAUGCAAGUCGAACGGAAAGGCCCUGCUUUUGUGGGGUGCUCGAGUGGCGAACGGGUGAGUAACACGUGAGUAACCUGCCCUUGACUUUGGGAUAACUUCAGGAAACUGGGGCUAAUACCGGAUAGGAGCUCCUGCUGCAUGGUGGGGGUUGGAAAGUUUCGGCGGUUGGGGAUGGACUCGCGGCUUAUCAGCUUGUUGGUGGGGUAGUGGCUUACCAAGGCUUUGACGGGUAGCCGGCCUGAGAGGGUGACCGGCGACAUUGGGACUGAGAGACGGCCCAGACUCCUACGGGAGGCAGCAGUGGGGAAUAUUGCACAAUGGGCGGAAGCCUGAUGCAGCAACGCCGCGUGCGGGAUGACGGCCUUCGGGGUGUAAACCGCUUUCGCCUGUGACGAAGCGUGAGUGACGGUAAUGGGUAAAGAAGCACCGGCUAACUACGUG
rnacentral:rRNA from 1 species